UGGCUCAGGAUGAACGCUGGCGGCGUGCUUAACACAUGCAAGUCGAGCGAAGCACUUUUUUAGAACUCUUCGGAGGGAAGAGAGGGUGACUUAGCGGCGGACGGGUGAGUAACGCGUGGGCAACCUGCCUUACACAGGGGGAUAACAAUUAGAAAUGAUUGCUAAUACCGCAUAAGACCCCGGUACCGCAUGGUACAGAGGUAAAAACUGAGGUGGUGUAAGAUGGGCCCGCGUCUGAUUAGGUAGUUGGUGGGGUAGAAGCCUACCAAGCCGACGAUCAGUAGCCGACCUGAGAGGGCGACCGGCCACAUUGGGACUGAGACACGGCCCAAACUCCUACGGGAGGCAGCAGUGGGGAAUAUUGCACAAUGGGGGAAACCCUGAUGCAGCGACGCCGCGUGAGUGAGGAAGUAUUUCGGUAUGUAAAGCUCUAUCAGCAGGGAAGAAAAUGACGGUACCUGACUAAGAAGCCCCGGCUAACUACGUGCCAGCAGCCGCGGUAAUACGUAGGGGGCAAGCGUUAUCCGGAUUUACUGGGUGUAAAGGGAGCGUAGACGGAUAAGCAAGUCUGAUGUGAAAAUCCGGGGCCCAACCCCGGGAUUGCAUUGGAAACUGCAUAUCUAGAGUGUCGGAGAGGCAAGUGGAAUUCCUGGNUGUANCGGUGAAAUGCGUANAUAUCNAGGAGGACACCANUGGNCGAAGGCGGCUUGCUGGGACGAUGACUGACGUUGAGGCUCGAA
rnacentral:rRNA from 1 species